GCUGCGGCCAGGGCUCGCCCGCUCCUCCGGCGGCCUCCGCUGGGGGCCCACUACAGCCCAGCGCCGGCCAGCCAGCCCAGCUUCUCGAAUCGGUCCUAAGCUGAGGCCGCCCUGCGCUGCAAAACUUGUGUCCACUCUCGGACCCAAUCUGUUCUGGACGGACUUGGCUCGUGGCAGGCGAAAGCGUCGUUUCCAACUGCAGCUGUUUGAAUUCUGGCGCCACACCCGCGCCACGUAGGGCCAAGUCGGCCGCCAAACUCGUGCGAGAGGGCGGGACGGCCUCGUUCUGACUCCGGGAGGCUAUAUAAGGAGCUACUGGCUGCGCACUUCGGUCUUUUACGUCGGCCUUCGCGAGCGUUUGGUCGGGUGGUAGGAACAAUGGCGCUGUCUUCAGUGGCACAGUGGAGCAGCUCUGAAGAUGCAAAGAUACACGAAAAAACUUCCAGAACAUCUGGGAGAAUAUUUAAUGGAAAAUCGCUUGGUUAAAACCUGACACUCUUAACAGUGAACAGCGUUCUGAGUGUGGACGAGUAGCCAGUGAAGAUAAUGAAUGUCGAACGUGACUGACUAGCAGCUUCAUUUUGAAUGAGGGUCGCUGUCUGCCCAUUGAUAGAGGCCAGAUUGUCUUGGAAGUUCCAAAGUUGCAACGAUUUCUGGCUAGUGCCACGAGGUUUACUUGACUGUUGUGUGAAAAGCUGAUAAGAAAACCAUCCAGAAAAAAGCUCUUCGUUUUACAAACAUGAAAAUAAAACAUGUAAUUUUG